rnacentral:rRNA from 1 species
GGGUCAGUAGGUUGGUCGUGCCACCGGUACGUACUGGCCUCACUGAUUCCUCCUUCCCGAAGAACCGUAAUGCCAUUAAUUUGGUGUUGCGGGGAAACAGGACUGUUACUUUGAAAAAAUUAGAGUGUUUAAAGCAAGCUAACGCUUGAAUACAUUAGCAUGGAAUAAUGAAAUAGGACGAUCGAUCCUAUUUUGUUGGUUUCUAGGAUUGACGUA